AUUGAACGCUGGCGGCAUGCCUUACACAUGCAAGUCGAACGGUAACGCGGGGGCAACCCUGGCGACGAGUGGCGAACGGGUGAGUAAUACAUCGGAACGUACCCAGUAGUGGGGGAUAGCUCGGCGAAAGCCGGAUUAAUACCGCAUACGACCUACGGGUGAAAGCGGGGGAUCGCAAGACCUCGCGCUAUUGGAGCGGCCGAUGUCGGAUUAGCUAGUUGGUGAGGUAAAGGCNCACCAAGGCUACGAUCCGUAGCUGGUCUGAGAGGACGACCAGCCACACUGGGACUGAGACACGGCCCAGACUCCUACGGGAGGCAGCAGUGGGGAAUUUUGGACAAUGGGCGCAAGCCUGAUCCAGCCAUGCCGCGUGUGUGAAGAAGGCCUGGUGUAAG
rnacentral:rRNA from 1 species